AUUGAACGCUGGCGGCAGGCCUAACACAUGCAAGUCGAACGAGUGGCGGACGGGUGAGUAAUGUCUGGGAAACUGCCUGAUGGAGGGGGAUAACUACUGGAAACGGUAGCUAAUACCGCAUACCAUCGGAUGUGCCCAGAUGGGAUUAGCUAGUGGGUGGGGUAAAGGCUCACCUAGGCGCCGAUCCCUAGCUGGUCUGCGAGGAUGACCAGCCCCACUGUAACUGAGUCACGGUCCAGACUCCUACGUGAGGCAGCAGGGGGGAAGAUUGCACAAUGGGCGAAAGCCUGAUGCAGCCAUGCCGCGGGUUUGAAGAAGGCCUUCGGGUUGUAAAGUACUUUCAGCGGGGAGGCGUUACCCGCAGAAGAAGCACCGGCUAACUCCGUGCCAGCCGCCGCGGUAAUAC
rnacentral:rRNA from 1 species